UUAAAUGAAAUAAAAUGCUUCUUUCUAAAGAUACCUUUAUUUUAACCCCUUGGAUUUGGAAAUGCUAAGGUUUCUGACAAGGUGCUAUCCCUCAUGUAACACCCCUUCCUUGUAGACAGUCAUGUUCCCCGACCUAAAACCACCCUGGGCCAUGCGUUCUUCAUCCUUUCUGGUGAAGAACCUAAGUUUAAUAUAUUUCUGUGUGUAUGGGUUUGGAAAUGAAAACUCAAAAUUUUUAGUUCUGAUGAUGUCCAAACAGAAUAUUUGACAUGCUUCAUUUCAGGCUUUUCCUCACCAAAAUGAAAGGUCAUCAGAACCAUCACAAUCCUGCAAACAUUUUGAUGCAUUCUCAGGCAGAAAAAAAUGUUCUGUCAGACUCUUCUGACCAACUGUAAUAGUCAUUUAUCUGAACCAGCUCCCACUGAAACAACUGGGAGAUUCCCAUUGACUUCAAAAUCAUUCAAUUUAGGCCUGACCCAAUUCCUUUCCAUCUCCACGGUCCAAAUCACUCCUUCUAAAUAGCUUAGAAAAGGGAAUACAAUUCUACUUAUUUGUUUUAUUCCCAUGCUCCUUGGAAACAGGUUCAUGAGGGCUCCAGUUUCAAAAUGCCAUUUUUAGGGACCUCUGGGGGGCUAUGUUUAUUAGGCUCUGCAGUGAGAGAACUUCCCCCUUCAGUAAAGUUUAUAAGGCUCCAUUUCUUUAGCUGAUUAAAAGUUUAGGUUUACAAUUGAUCUAUAUAGUUUGGUCUUCUAUACUGUAACUUAAUAUGCUUUUAUGGUUGCACAGAUGGGAUUUCUAUCCUCCUGGAUCUCUGCUUCAAUUGCUCUUCACCCUUGGAUGUUCUUUUAUUUAGCCUUGUUUGAUUCUUCUCUGUAAAGUUCUGAGAGAGCCAGAUUGGUAAAGACACUUAAAAGGGAUUACAGUAGAGUUUUCUUUCUUGUUUUUUCUUCCUGGAUUAGAUAUUUAGAAGCAAACUUUCAAAGCGUUAUAUGUGAGGUAUCAGCCCUGUGAUAACCAUCUUCCCAAUAAACUCAGUUGGAGUCAUAAGACCAAAUCACUACAUAGAGGACUUUGAAAAUUAUAGUUAGUUAAAAGGUAGGCUUUGAACUCUACUGGUAUACAUUCAAAAAAUUUUACUGUCCCUAAAUUCUCUAUACAACAAUGAGCUAUUACUAUUAAAAUCAACAAAAUCAUCAAAAAAAAAAUCAAAAGCCUGUUUUUAUCGUGUUCCUGUUCUCAUGCCAAAAUUUGUAGCAAAGCAUGUUGUCAUAUUCACUUGUUUCACUGAAUAUAGUAGUGUGAUAAAUUAUAAAAUGUAAAAUAAUGAAGUGUGCCCAAAAAUAACAUUACAAAAGCAAAUAAUUCCCUCUAAAGUUCCCUGUUUACUCAGAUUAGUCAUUCAGUGCUAACUGUGCAUAUUUUCAAUCUGUGGAUAGUUUUCUGUAUACACACAAUUCUCCAUGGACACAUUCCUGCUCACGCCUGACCUCUGUUUUACAUGAUUUUAAGCUAUUUUCCUCUUAAAAUAAAGACAUUCUCAGUGCAUUUCAACAACAUAUUUAGCAUGCCAUUAUUUUUUUCUCAAAUCUCAUUCCCUCUGAAACCCUGGCAGCUUGGAAAAUGGCUAGUUCCUUCUCAUUACCAGCUCUUUAAAAGAGAGGAAGAAGGGGAAGAAAAACAGCUUUACAUCUUAAAGAUUUCAUUGCUGUUUUUUGCAACAUUUUGAAUUUCAUAGUUGCUCAAAAACCUCCAUUGAUUACUGUGUCUAGUGCAUAUCUCACUGAGAGAGAAAUAAAAUAACUAACAGGAAUACUUGAACUGAAUCAAGAGAUCAGUUAUGCCACUAGAAAUUGGAAACUCUUUGUGGAGUCGCAUGCAGAGUUUGUAUCUGCUAAAAUCCACUGGUGAUAUACUAGGUGCUACUUCAGUGGCUGCUUCUACCAGGAAUGAAUUAGGCACAGCUAAUAUUAUGCCCUUUAACCAUUUUUUCACUUAUCUCCCAUUCUGCAAAGCACUUUACACAUGCACUUAAGCCUUAUUUGAGUCAAAGAAAGUCAAGGAUCAUGCUUCAGGACUGUGCUGAAUCAGGGCCUGUUUGCUCCAGUGAAUUGGGGCUACAGCACAUGCUUAAUUUUGAAGUCAGUAUGGGUAUUCAUGUGUUUAAAAUGUAAUAUGUGCUAAAUGCCCUGCUGAGUUGCAAUGAAAACCAUGGUUAAGAUUCUCCAUGUAUCCCAGCAUUUCUGCAUUUCUUUUCUGUUUUUGUUUUCACCACUCUAAUUUCACAGUUUCAGUUCACUGCUAGUCUGUAACAACACCGUUUCUAAAAUAUCAAGAAAAGCAUGUUUUGAAAGUGUCAAUACAAAUUUACAAUCAUUCUCAUACUUAUAGAAAUUUUCAGUGAAGAGAUAUUAGAACAAAUCUACCUUACAACAUCUCUAGUGCAAAUCCAGUGAAAACAAUGAAAUUGCACUCUUGUAAAUGCAGGAACAAUUUGGUUCGCUAUCUUCGUUCCCCUCUGAUUUGUUGUUGUGUCCUUUCAAGGAAGAGUUGCAGUAAAUGGAGUCAAGGUUUCUACAAAAUAUUUUUUUAUCCAUCAGAUCAGUUCAUCUGGUUCAAUGAAUCUCCCAUUUGGAGGGAAAAAAUGAGGAGUGAAAGACAGGCAGGAGUCAGAGAUUAUUGAAACAUGCUUUUUAGACAUUUUCUUUUAUUUAAGAGCUUGUUUUUUCUGGACUAAAGUGACCUUUCAUUUUGAAAUUUAAGUUUAAUGUAUGGAAAACAAUUUAAAUGGUCAUUAUUGGAGGAAAACAAAAAAGAUUGACCAGAUCUAAGGGGCAGGUUUCUGUUUGAAUUUUUUUUAGAUAUUGUCUCUGUCUCAACAUGGCAUGGAAAAGUGUUUUUUUAAUUUUGAAAUUUUUUGUCUAAAUUGGCAAAUAAUCUCCCAUUGAUUUUUCAUUUUAAUUUUUUAGAUGUCCUCUGUGGAAAUCCACAGAGCUGCUACAGGAGCCUGGGUGUGGACUACGUCCCCCUGCCCCAGCAGCAGGAAGCCCCAAACCCCCUACUCUGAGAUUUGUAAUUGGGGGCUGGGAGAUCUGGCAGGCAGCUCCUGGGGGCAGGGAGCUCUCUCCUGCCCCCUCAUGCAUGGCUGACCGGGAGCAGAUUUUUUUCCAGAUGACCUAUUACCUGGACAAGGGAGAAAAAAUUGAUGUCAUAUAUCUUGACGUUAAAAAGGCCUUCAAUCUGGUAUCCCAUGAUCACCUCUUAGCAAAACUGGCUAACUGUGGCCUCGGCCUCACCACGAUCCACUGGCCAGGCUGGGGAACUGGCUCCAUGGUAGGACACAGAGGUUGAAGGAAGUCAGCCAUCAUGGUGCGCUGUGACCAGUGGGGUCCCUCAAGGCUCUGUCCUUGGGCCUACACUAUUCAACAUCUUCAUUAAUGAUGUGGACAUUGGUAUCAGAAGUGAACUGGCCAAGUUUGUUGAUGACACCAAACUCUGGGGUAAAGCGUCCACACCUGAGGACAGGAGGGUGAUCCAGGCUGACCUUGACAGGCUCAGCAAAUGGGCGGAUGAGAACCUGAUGGUGUUUAACACCGAAAAUUUCCACCUUGGGAGGAAAAACCUGCAGCAUCCUUAUAGGAUCGGCAGUGAUACACUGGCUAGCACUAUGGACAAAAGGGACCUGGGGGUCAUGAUUGACCACAAGAUGAACAUGAGCCUUUAAUGUGAUGCUGCAGCUAAUAAAGCAAGCAAAAUGCUGGCUUGUAUCCAUAGAUGCUUCUCAAGCAAAUCCCAGGACAUCAUUCUCCCAUUGUACUCGGCCUUGGUGAGGCCACAGCUGGAGUACUGCGUCCAGUUUUGGGCUCCACAAUUCAAAAAGGAUGUGGAGAAGCUUGAGAGAGUGCAGAGGAGAGCCACGUGCAUGAUCAGAGGUCAGGGAAGCAGACCCUAUGAUGACAAGCUGAGAACCCUGGGGCUCUUUAGCCUGGAAAAGCGCAGGCUCAGGGUGAUUUCGUGGGCACCUAAGUUUAUCAGGGGUGCUCACCAGGAUCUUGGGAAAUGUCUAUUCACCAGAGCACUCCAAGGGAUGACAAGGUUGAAUGGUCACAGACUCCUCCAUGACCAUUUUGGGCUGGACGUAAGGAAGAACUUCUUUACUGUCCAACCCCCCAAGGUUUGGAAUAGACUGCCACUGGAGGUGGUUCAAGCACCUACUUGGAACACCUUCAAGAGACAUUUGGAUGUUUAUCUUUCUGGGAUCCUAUGAUCCCUGCUGACUUCCUGCCCCUGGGGCAGGGGGCUGGACUCGAUGAUCUUCUGAUGUCCCUUCCAGCCCUAAUGUCUAUGAAAUCUGUAACCAGCUCUGUGACCAUGGGACUGACUCUGGGAAACCCUUAUCUACCAGUGCCAGCUCCGCAACUGCAGGGCUGGUGCUGGGAGACCCUUCUGGAACAAGCUGUCCAGCCUCCACCCAGCUUGCAGAGUGGGGACUGGAAACUGUCCUCGUCAGGGACAAUUAGGUGCUAGCUGCCCAAAUGGCAGAUCAGGGCAGGUGGCUGGGACCUGCCCCUCCCCUGCAACUCUUUCAAAGUGCCCUGCCCCUGAUUGGGGAGCCAAGGCCAGGAGCUUUAUGCUGCCGAGGCAGGGGGACAGUGUCCCUACCCCAGGAGCAAGCAGCCCCCUGGGGCUAGAAGACAGCUGUUUCCUAGUCCAGGGCUCCCCGCCAGCCCCUGCGCUAGCACCCAGGGGGAGCCUAGAGUUCCUCCCCAAUGGCAACAAGUGCCCAUUGCAAGGCAGUAAAUCUUCUCCCUAAUCCCUGCAUGUGUAGACACCUGCCCAAAAGUGCCUACUCCAGAGUAGCUUACACAAGUGUAAACUUAGGCAGGAUCAAAUGCAUGUGUAGAUAUGCCCAGCAUCUUGUACAAGUUGGAUCUAAGCAGCUCCUCAGUUACUUAAUAUAACUGGAAAAGCUUGGAACACGCCACCUUCAUUAUUAAUGAAUGCUCUUUAUUUAAUUUACAUAGGGCACGUCUACACAUGCAUUUAUGUGCAACUAAAUUUACUGCACACUAAAACUAGUGCCAAGUCCCUCCAACCCUGCCAUAUGCCCCUGUGGCCACUGGGGGGGAGGGGAGCUCCAUCCUCCAGCCACAUGGCUGCCAGCGCUUAAGCAGCCACAUUGAAACCAGAGUCAGUUCUCAGCACUUGGCAGACAUCUUGAAAACUCUGAUCCCUGGCCGGUCCCUUCCCUGCCCAUGAGCCAUGUGCCCAGUGCAGGGGCAGCAUGUGGCAGCUCCCUCCUUGCCCACCUUGCCUCCCUAUGGCAGGGCUGCUCCUGCCCCUGCUAUUGAUGACCAGCAUCCCAUGCUCCUGCUGACCAUGGUGCUGGCCCUGCUGACCCCAGCAGUCCUCCCCACACCCGGGCCCCAGAAAAGCCACUUACCCACUAGCAGGGGCCAGGUACUGGCUGGCUGCAGGAGGCCCUGGGCGAGCCCCUCCUCCUGUACUUGUUACUUCAGCCUGCCUGCCCCACCACCCCCACAGCCCCUAGCCCCUGCCCACCCCUAUCACCACUCUCAGGACACACACAUGGUUGAAACAAAAAAAAGUUAUUUCCCUAACAACACCCACCCCCAUCCCUCCCUGCUCCACAAACAGAACCCCCUCCUAUGAUUGUAGUCAGUCAUGGCUAUCUACUGUGCCUGGAAGGCCUUGACCUUAAUGUGUCACUGUCAGGCCAACCAGGAGUGCCCUUGCUCAUGCAUGCCACCCAAUAGAGCCUCAUAAAUGUGGGCACUUGAGCACCCACCUCACAUGAACUGCCUCUGCAGUUGACAUAGGCCCAGAGCACCAUGAAGUUGCCAACCUCCUCCCAGGACCAGUUGGGGGCCUGUACAUAUGCACAAGGCUGGGGCUCAAUGGAGAGGAUAAUGAGGAUGACAUUCUUAGCCCAUGCCUGUUCUCUGGGCCCCUACACAGCUGUCCACAUGUGGCUGAUCCUGGACAGCGCAUAGGAGCGCUCAGGGGAGGUGCGCAAGCAAGGACUCGGAGCCAUGCGGCAGAGGCACUUUACCACAGCACAUGCUGGAAGGCUGGGAACAGCUGCAGCUGAGGAUCAGUAUUCAAGGAUGGAGCUAGAAGGGGAGUUAAGAGUUCCUGGAGAAGAGGGAGGUGUAGUGCUUAGGGGGAAUUACUGAGCCUGUGUAAUGUCUCUCAGGGUCUGAAGGAAAGCCAGAGCUUUUGAGUUUUGUUUGUUCAAUUGUUUGAGGUUUGCACACUCACAUGUUUUGUUAUUUGUCUUUUCUGUGGAAGGUUACCCAGGUAAAACAAACAGUCUGUAAAUCCAACCAUGGAGCUGACUGGCCUCAAUAGGAAAGCUGGGGAACCUUAUUGAAUAAUAGGCUCAAAUAGUUGUGCUAAGAACUGGACGGUAAGCCCAAGGAUCUGUCUUAUCAUCAGAAAUGGAAAGAAAGCUGCUGUUGUUGACAGGCAAUGGUGCUGUAAAUGAUUUGACAAAUCUUGAAAAGGUCUUAUUGUCACCUCCUUUCCGAGAAGUUAAUCAUAUUUGCUAAGGAUGACCUACUCUACAUAAACCGAUGCUACUGACUGUCCUUGGAUAAGACUACCUGUUCAAGAGCACUCACGGUUUUUGGCUAGCAUCCCCCCCCAGUACUGAGCUAAUGUAUUAAUUCAUCUCUCAGUGCCCUCCAAUAAACAUGGCUCUGUUCAUCAUCCUAUGUU